GUGCUCACUUCAGCAGCACAUAUAUUAAAAUCGGAACGACACAGAGGAGAUCAGCACAGCCCCUGCACGAGGAUGAUAUGCAAAUUCGUAAAGCGUUCCAUAUUUUU
rfam:Tupaia chinensis contig116715, whole genome shotgun sequence.